rnacentral:rRNA from 1 species
AUUGAACGCUGGCGGCAUGCCUUACACAUGCAAGUCGAACGGCAGCACGGGAGCAAUCCUGGUGGCGAGUGGCGAACGGGUGAGUAAUAUAUCGGAACGUGCCCAGUCGUGGGGGAUAACGUAGCGAAAGCUACGCUAAUACCGCAUACGAUCUAUGGAUGAAAGCGGGGGGAUCGCAAGACCUCGCGCGAUUGGAGCGGCCGAUAUCAGAUUAGGUAGUUGGUGAGGUAAAGGACUCACCAAGCCGACGAUCUGUAGCUGGUCUGAGAGGACGACCAGCCACACUGGGACUGAGACACGGCCCAGACUCCUACGGGAGGCAGCAGUGGGGGAAUUUUUGGGACAAUGGGCGCAAGCCUGAUCCAGCAAUGCCGCGUGCAGGAUGAAGGCCUCGG